rnacentral:rRNA from 1 species
GGUUAAGCGACUAAGCGUACACGGUGGAUGCCCUGGCAGUCAGAGGCGAUGAAGGACGUGCUAAUCUGCGAUAAGCGUCGGUAAGGUGAUAUGAACCGUUAUAACCGGCGAUUUCCGAAUGGGGAAACCCAGUGUGAUUCGUCACACUAUCAUUAACUGAAUCCAUAGGUUAAUGAGGCGAACCGGGGAACUGAAACAUCUAAGUACCCCGAGGAAAAGAAAUCAACCGAGAUUCCCCAGUAGCGGCGAGCGAACGGGGAGCAGCCCAGAGCCUGAAUCAGUGUGUGUGUUAGUGGAAGCGUCUGGAAAGGCGCGCGAUACAGGGUGACAGCCCCGUACACAAAAAUGCACAUACUGUGAGCUCGAUGAGUAGGGCGGGACACGUGGUAUCCUGUCUGAAUAUGGGGGACCAUCCUCCAAGGCUAAAUACUCCUGACUGACCGAUAGUGAACCAGUACCGUGAGGGAAAGGCGAAAAGAACCCCGGCGAGGGAGUGAAAAAGAACCUGAAACCGUGUACGUACAAGCAGUGGGAGCACAGAGCAAUCUGUGUGACUGCGUACCUUUUGUAUAAUGGGUCAGCGACUUAUAUUCUGUAGCAAGGUUAACCGAAUAGGGGAGCCGAAGGGAAACCGAGUCUUAACUGGGCGUUAAGUUGCAGGGUAUAGACCCGAAACCCGGUGAUCUAGCCAUGGGCAGGUUGAAGGUUGGGUAACACUAACUGGAGGACCGAACCGACUAAUGUUGAAAAAUUAGCGGAUGACUUGUGGCUGGGGGUGAAAGGCCAAUCAAACCGGGAGAUAGCUGGUUCUCCCCGAAAGCUAUUUAGGUAGCGCCUCGUGAAUUCAUCUCCGGGGUAGAGCACUGUUUCGGCAAGGGGUCAUCCCGACUUACCAACCCGAUGCAAACUGCGAAUACCGGAGAAUGUUAUCACGGGAGACACACGGCGGGUGCUAACGUCCGUCGUGAAGAGGGAAACAACCCAGACCGCCAGCUAAGGUCCCAAAGUCAUGGUUAAGUGGGAAACGAUGUGGGAAGGCCCAGACAGCCAGGAUGUUGGCUUAGAAGCAGCCAUCAUUUAAAGAAAGCGUAAUAGCUCACUGGUCGAGUCGGCCUGCGCGGAAGAUGUAACGGGGCUAAACCAUGCACCGAAGCUGCGGCAGCGACGCUGAUGCGUUGUUGGGUAGGGGAGCGUUCUGUAAGCCUGUGAAGGUGUGCUGUGAGGCAUGCUGGAGGUAUCAGAAGUGCGAAUGCUGACAUAAGUAACGAUAAAGCGGGUGAAAAGCCCGCUCGCCGGAAGACCAAGGGUUCCUGUCCAACGUUAAUCGGGGCAGGGUGAGUCGACCCUAAGGCGAGGCCGAAAGGCGUAGUCGAUGGGAAACAGGUUAAUAUUCCUGUACUUGGUGUUACUGCGAAGGGGGACGGAGAAGGCUAUGUUGGCCGGGCGACGGUUGUCCCGGUUUAAGCGUGUAGGCUGGUUUUCCAGGCAAAUCCGGAAAAUCAAGGCUGAGGCGUGAUGACGAGGCACUACGGUGCUGAAGCAACAAAUGCCCUGCUUCCAGGAAAAGCCUCUAAGCAUCAGGUAACAUCAAAUCGUACCCCAAACCGACACAGGUGGUCAGGUAGAGAAUACCAAGGCGCUUGAGAGAACUCGGGUGAAGGAACUAGGCAAAAUGGUGCCGUAACUUCGGGAGAAGGCACGCUGAUAUGUAGGUGAAGUCCCUCGCGGAUGGAGCUGAAAUCAGUCGAAGAUACCAGCUGGCUGCAACUGUUUAUUAAAAACACAGCACUGUGCAAACACGAAAGUGGACGUAUACGGUGUGACGCCUGCCCGGUGCCGGAAGGUUAAUUGAUGGGGUCAGCGCAAGCGAAGCUCUUGAUCGAAGCCCCGGUAAACGGCGGCCGUAACUAUAACGGUCCUAAGGUAGCGAAAUUCCUUGUCGGGUAAGUUCCGACCUGCACGAAUGGCGUAAUGAUGGCCAGGCUGUCUCCACCCGAGACUCAGUGAAAUUGAACUCGCUGUGAAGAUGCAGUGUACCCGCGGCAAGACGGAAAGACCCCGUGAACCUUUACUAUAGCUUGACACUGAACAUUGAGCCUUGAUGUGUAGGAUAGGUGGGAGGCUUUGAAGUGUGGACGCCAGUCUGCAUGGAGCCGACCUUGAAAUACCACCCUUUAAUGUUUGAUGUUCUAACGUUGACCCGUAAUCCGGGUUGCGGACAGUGUCUGGUGGGUAGUUUGACUGGGGCGGUCUCCUCCUAAAGAGUAACGGAGGAGCACGAAGGUUGGCUAAUCCUGGUCGGACAUCAGGAGGUUAGUGCAAUGGCAUAAGCCAGCUUGACUGCGAGCGUGACGGCGCGAGCAGGUGCGAAAGCAGGUCAUAGUGAUCCGGUGGUUCUGAAUGGAAGGGCCAUCGCUCAACGGAUAAAAGGUACUCCGGGGAUAACAGGCUGAUACCGCCCAAGAGUUCAUAUCGACGGCGGUGUUUGGCACCUCGAUGUCGGCUCAUCACAUCCUGGGGCUGAAGUAGGUCCCAAGGGUAUGGCUGUUCGCCAUUUAAAGUGGUACGCGAGCUGGGUUUAGAACGUCGUGAGACAGUUCGGUCCCUAUCUGCCGUGGGCGCUGGAGAACUGAGGGGGCUGCUCCUAGUACGAGAGGACCGGAGUGGACGCAUCACUGGUGUUCGGGUUGUCAUGCCAAUGGCACUGCCCGGUAGCUAAAUGCGGAAGAGAUAAGUGCUGAAAGCAUCUAAGCACGAAACUUGCCCCGAGAUGAGUUCUCCCUGACCCUUUAAGGGUCCUGAAGGAACGUUGAAGACGACGACGUUGAUAGGCCGGGUGUGUAAGCGCAGCGAUGCGUUGAGCUAACCGGUACUAAUGAACCGUGAGGCUUAACCUU